GGGCAAGAAGCUGCCUGGGGGGCGGAGUGCUGCAGCUGCGAGAGGAGCUAGCGGGAGGGAAGGAGGAGGUGGCCGCCCGGAAGGGAGACGGUGGGGAAGUAGCUGCACAGAGAAGAGCUUCUGGACCGUCCGUCCCGUCCCAUCCCUUUCUCUCAAGCGGGCACGGCGCGGCAAGACUUGCUCUACUGACCCGUCCCGCCGAGGAAAUGCAAAGGGUCGUGUGUUAAGCCCUGUGGAAAGGGGAGGUGUACGCUCUUUAUUACUUGGAGGAGAGAGCUGGCAGAUGUCCCAAGCGAGAGAACCUCUUCCUCCGGGGCCUGAAGGGCCAGAGCGUGCAGCUCCUGCAGAAAGCAGCCUUUUGAUCUCACUCCCUCGAGAAGAAUGUGGGGGAGACAGAGAAGCUGUAGGAGCAAGAGAGCUAACAGAAACUUCCAGUAACCAAAGCAUACAAGCAGACACACAAGAACGGCCUGUGUGGGGAAACUGCACUGAUGAUGACCUCAUCAGAACACAACCUCAGCGUUUGCCUCAAGCAACUCCUUUGCCACUUGAAAAGUGUAAGGACGAAACUGGCAAAAUCCUAAAUGGUCAUGUAGGUCUAAGUAAUGGAAGCAGAUUUCACAAUGGAGUCAAACAUGGUGCUUCAGACAGCAGGAAAUUCUCAGCGCCUGUGUCUCAAAAAAUGCACAGAAAAAUCCAGUCCAAUUUGUCUGUGAACAGUGAAAGCAGCAAGAAAAGCUCUGCAUAUUCUCAUAAGCCAGGUUCUUUACCUGAAGAUUGCUGUGUGCAUUGCAUCCUGGCCUGUUUGUUCUGUGAAUUUAUCACCCUCUGUAGCCUUGUCUUGGGACAAGCGACGUGUGGUGUCUGUCCGGCGGAGGCCUGUUGCUGUUGCUGUGGAGAGGAAAUGGGGGACGACUGCAACUGCCCUUGUGACAUGGACUGUGGCAUAAUGGAUGCCUGUUGUGAAUCAUCGGACUGCUUGGAAAUCUGCAUGGAAUGCUGUGGGAUUUGCUUCCCAUCAUAAUUUUUAAUUUAUCUUUUUGUGGUAUUUUAUCUUAAAAAAAGGAAAGGGUUCUUGUUCUUUUUUAAACAAACUCUUUUGAAGGACACUGUUAAAUACUCUCACAGCAACCUAGUUAUGUGCACUGUUAACUUCUUUUUAAAGAAUUACUGAAGAAAAGAAAACUAUCAAGAACAAAUGCUUCAUGGUCUAAUUUUCUGUACCUGUGAGUGGCUUUGCAAAGUUUCCUCUCAAAGUCACCCAAACUGCACAAAGACAGGAGGUCUUCAGAGUUAUGUAGGGCUUUUUUUUAAAAAAAGAGUUGAUCACUUUAUCAUUAAAAAGUUCCUAAAAGAAAUUGAAAUCAGAAGGGUCACAAUAGACACAUCUUGGCUACAACAAAAUAGCAAUAAUUUCUUGUGGGAUUUUCCACUUUAGUGACUCUCUCAAUACAAAUAUUGUAAUGGCUUUUGUUUAAACAAAUACUUUUUAAAAUAAAACUGCUAUAUGUCUUUUAUGUUUUUCUAACUGCAAUGUGAACAAAUACUUUAUUUUCUUAUCUUUAUUUUUACAUAAUUUAAGUCUGCAUUGCUAGCAAUUUGGUUCAUGUUUUACAAUAUAACCCUAGGUGUGUCUGUUCAAAAGUAAGCCCCAGGCAAGCAGGUAUAGGACUGUAGCCAUAAAUAACUUUUUACCAGCAUCACAUUAUUUUUAUACUGUAUGGCGUGAUUUAAGGGACACUGAUUUUGUCUGAUUUUGUAAGCCGCUACUGGCUGAUGGCUUCAUUCAAGCCAACAAGCUCACACUUUUGGACAAAAGAUUUUGGAUGAAAGAUUAUGUCAGAAUAAAUUUGUUAGUCUUUAAGGUGCCACAAGACUUAUUAUUCUUGAUGCAACAGAAUGACAGUGCUACCACUCUAGAAGUUUUGGGAUGUGACUCAUGUGAAAAACAUCAAGAGUUCGGGCAACUGGAAUGACCAAAAGAAAGGGAAACUAUUUAAGAGGCACUUCCUCAUGCAAAGAAUGAAUAAGAUUUAAGUGAUUAAAAAAUAAAAAGUAUAUUGUGUGAAAAGGCUUGAUAUGGAGAUUGAAGUUCCUUAAAGGAGAUGUCAUACCCUGUGGCUUAAGGUAAAGGUGUAGUGAAUGUUUAGAAGAGGGCAGAAUGUUUCUUCUUUUACUCUUAUUAAAUUAUUCUUGUGGCAUAAUCAAAAUCUGCCUCAGUGUUUCAGCUGACCAGAAUUCCACAAACUGAAAUAAGGUGGUGCUAUCUUACAUUAAAUUCUGAAUUUUCUUGUGAUUCAUUAAGACAGUUUAAAUAAACAGCCAAGUUAUCCAAAUAGUCCACAUUUUCUAGUGGGCUUUUGGUUUGCCACAUUUUUGGAAUUUGUCUGUAGACUGUGUUUUGUUGACCAGAAUAAAGAAGCAGCAGUUCCUUUUCAUUUCAGAAAAAUCAAAACUUCAGCCUGAACCUACAAACACUGAUUUACCAAUGCUUUACUACUGAUGUGUUAUUGAAAAACAAAACUUAAGAAGAUACAUGUAUUCCUGGAAUUGCUUGCUUUGCAGAAUAUUGUAUGUUUACUGAAGCAAGGAUAUCCUUCCUUCCUCUGAAGUAUGCUGAUGGUUGCAGAAAGAAACAGACAGUACUUUUACUUUGGCUUCCUGUUACACCCUUCACUGACUAUCCUGUUUGUUCACUUUGGAGAACCUGGAUGUUAUGAGUGGAAUAAUUCCCCCCAUCCCACCCUGCAUACCAUACUGAACUUCAAGUUCCCAAAGAAAUAAUUUUGGUCACAGUAAUUUAAUACUAAUUACUUGUAAUAAAAGCACUAAAUGACCAAUUUAAUUUCUUUUGUAAUCCUUUUAAAGUGUAAUGGCACCUGAUACGUAAGUAGGUUUUUUUUAACAGAUUUCUAAAACUUCAUAUGUCAGCUUGACUAUACCAUAGUGUAUGGUAUGGAAUCUCAUGUACUUUUCUCUAUACUGCAGAGACAAUAGAUAACCAACCAAGUUCCAAGGAGCGUAAGUUAAACAUGCAUUUCUAACUAGAUUAAUGAAGGGGUUAGUAGUGUUUCCUUCUUGCCUCUUUGGGUGAGUCCCAUCCUGGCUUGUAUGUAGGAACACAGCUAGCUUGUUUCCUGCUCUUACAGUUCCAUUAUUCCAUUAGCUUCUCCCCGGUCUAUGGUGCAUCCAGUCUUCUGGUUUCUGCAUCUGGUAGUAGUGAUGUGAGUUUCCCAGUGAAAAAUUCCCAUACAAAUCAAGGAAUUUUGCCAAGGGUAAUUUAUACUGGUAAAUGCAGUUUGCAUCAGAAAAUGUUCUGAUGUCCUACAGUCGGGGUUAGACCCCUUCUGGCCCUCAGGAAGUUAUGCAUAUAAACCCAUCAGUCCUAACAAGCACAGGCAAUAGUGAAGGAUGAUGCAUGCCAAAAAUAUAUUAAUGGUUGCAAAAUAUCAGCCCCUACACUACAAAGAGCUCCAGUUUGGUAUGUUUAUUCAGGUUGUGUUUAGUAAAUAAAGUGGAAAAGUUCCCCAUUUUUGUCUCAUUUUUUUGUAAAUAUUUGCCUUGAAACAUUUGAGGAAAAACGUAAAGGCAUAAUUGCAGCACAAUCUUGCAGUUUCUUGACAGCAAUUGAAACAGUGUAGAUUGCUACUGAUCUACUCCCUACUCAGAAAGCAGUGAACAGGAAGAGCAAGUUGUGGAUUUCCCAGCUGCUGUGCAAAUCUUUGGGGCAGCUCAUGCAGAAGCAGUUGGGGAGGUGGAAAAUGGGUGCCCUGGAGGGUGGGGGAUGAGGAAGCAGAGUCAUAGAUCUCUUAGAUCAGACCACUACAGACGGAUACCAAUAUCAGAAAGGGUUUGCGCCUGUGGUACAGGACAAGAGCAGAGCAUGUCAUGUCUUACUGCUUGCUUUACCAGGAAGUAUGUGGUAAGUUUAUCCUCCUCCUGAUUAGAAAAUUUACCGACCGCUCAGAUGCAGAGGUGGCCAAGGUUUUGCACAGAUCACAGCUCGGAGCUCAAGUUUUUGUUUUUUAGUUUUUUUGCAGCCACUUGUAAAAUCUGAUAUUGUCUGUAAUGAAUAUAGAUUGUAAUGCCUGCCCUUUAAAAAAUACAGUGUGUAUCAUCUGUUUAGACUCUGGAUUUUAAAUCUAAAUGUACAGUAAUUGGGAUUUUGAUAUUGUUGCUUUGAUUAUGCUGGUCAUUGACUGUAUUAAUAAAUUAAUUGAUCU